UACGAAGGGGGGCUAGCGUUGCUCGGAAUCACUGGGCGUAAAGGGUGCGUAGGCGGGUCUUUUAAGUCAGGGGUGAAAUCCUGGAGCUCAACUCCAGAACUGCCUUUGAUACUGAAGAUCUUGAGUUCGGGAGAGGUGAGUGGAACUGCGAGUGUAGAGGUGAAAUUCGUAGAUAUUCGCAAGAACACCAGUGGCGAAGGCGGCUCACUGGCCCGAUACUGACGCUGAGGCACGAAAGCUAGGGAGCGAA
rnacentral:rRNA from 1 species